rnacentral:rRNA from 1 species
CAUGUGGGGCUAAGCGUUUGUUCGGAAUUACUGGGCAUAAGGGUGCGUAGGUGGUUUGUUAAGUCAGGGGUGAAAUCCCGCGGCCCAACCGUGGAACUGCCUUUGAUACUGGCGAACUUGAGUGCGUGAGGGGUAGGGGGAACGAGCAGUGUAGCGGUGAAAUGCGUAGAUAUUGCUCGGAAGGCCAGAGCCGAAGGGGCCCUACUGGUGCGCAACUGACACUGAGGCACGAAAGCGUGGGGAGCAAACAGGAUUAGAUACCCUGGUAGUCCACGCCGUAAACUAUGAGCACUAGAUGGAUGCCGAGCUAUCGGUGUCUGUCGGAGGCAAUUUGGUAAGUGCUCCGCCUGGGGAGUAUGGUCGCAAGGCUG